rnacentral:rRNA from 1 species
GAUGAACGCUGGCGGCGUGCCUAAUACAUGCAAGUCGAGCGAAUGGAUUAAGAGCUUGCUCUUAUGAAGUUAGCGGCGGACGGGUGAGUAACACGUGGUAACCUGCCCAUAAGACUGGGAUAACUCCGGGAAACCGGGGCUAAUACCGGAUAACAUUUUGAACCGCAUGGUUCGAAAUUGAAAGGCGGCUUCGGCUGUCACUUAUGGAUGGACCCGCGCCGCAUUAGCUAGUUGGUGAGGUAACGGCUCACCAAGGCAACGAUGCGUAGCCGAACUGAGAGGGUGAUCGGCCACAAGGGGACUGGGACAAGGCCCAGACUCCUACGGCAGGCAGCAGUAGGGAAUCUUCCGCAAUGGACGAAAGUCUGACGGAGCAACGCCGCGUGAGUGAUGAAGGCUUUCGGGUCGUAAAACUCUGUUGUUAGGGAAGAACAAGUGCUAGUUGAAUAAGCUGGCACCUUGACGGUACCUAACCAGAAAGCCACGGCUAACUACGUGCCAGCCGCCGCAGUAA